UGGGGAAUUUUCCGCAAUGGGCGCAAGCCUGACGGAGCAAUACCGCGUGAGGGAGGAAGGCUCUUGGGUCGUAAACCUCUUUUCUCAGGGAAGAACACAAUGACGGUACCUGAGGAAUAAGCAUCGGCUAACUCCGUGCCAGCAGCCGCGGUAAUACGGAGGAUGCAAGCGUUAUCCGGAAUGAUUGGGCGUAAAGCGUCCGUAGGUGGUUUUGUAAGUCUGUGGUUAAAGCGCGAAGCUCAACUUCGUAAGGGCCAUGGAAACUACAUAACUUGAGUGAAGUAGGGGUAGAGGGAAUUCCCAGUGUAGCGGUGAAAUGGGUAAAGAUUGGGAAGAACACCGGUGGCGAAAGCGCUCUACUGGACUUAUACUGACACUGAGGGACGAAAGCUAGGGGAGCGAAAGGGAUUAGAUACCCCUGUAGUC
rnacentral:rRNA from 1 species